GAUGAACGCUGGCGGCGUGCCUAAUACAUGCCAGUCGAGCGAACGGACGAGAAGCUUGCUUUUCUGAUGUUAGCGGCGGACGGGUGAGUAACACGUGGAUAACCUACCUAUAAGACUGGGAUAACUUCGGGAAACCGGAGCUAAUACCGGAUAAUAUUUUGAACCGCAUGGUUCAAAAGUGAAAGACGGUCUUGCUGUCACUUAUAGAUGGAUCCGCGCUGCAUUAGCUAGUUGGUAAGGUAACGGCUUACCAAGGCAACGAUGCAUAGCCGACCUGAGAGGGUGAUCGGCCACACUGGAACUGAGACACGGUCCAGACUCCUACGGGAGGCAGCAGUAGGGAAUCUUCCGCAAUGGGCGAAAGCCUGACGGAGCAACGCCGCGUGAGUGAUGGAGGUCUUCGGAUCGUAAAACUCUGUUAUUAGGGAAGAACAUAUGUGUAAGUAACUGUGCACAUCUUGACGGUACCUAAUCAGAAAGCCACGGCUAACUACGUG
rnacentral:rRNA from 1 species